UACGGAAGGCAGCAGUGGGGAAUAUUGCACAAUGGGCGCAAGCCUGAUGCAGCCAUGCCGCGUGUAUGAAGAAGGCCUUCGGGUUGUAAAGUACUUUCAGUCGUGAGGAAGGUGUUAAGGUUAAUAACCUUAGCAAUUGACGUUAGCGACAGAAGAAGCACCGGCUAACUCCGUGCCAGCAGCCGCGGUAAUACGGAGGGUGCGAGCGUUAAUCGGAAUUACUGGGCGUAAAGGGCACGCAGGCGGUUAAUUAAGUUGGAUGUGAAAUCCCCGGGCUUAACCUGGGAAUGGCAUUCAAGACUGGUUAGCUAGAGUCUUGUAGAGGGGGUAGAAUUCCAUGUGUAGCGGUGAAGUGCGUAGAGAUGUGGAGGAAUACCGGUGGCGAAGGCGGCCCCUGGGACAAAGGCUGACGCUCAUGUGCGAAAGCGUGGGGAGCAAACG
rnacentral:rRNA from 1 species